rnacentral:piRNA from 1 species
UGCAAAGAAAUGUGCCAUUUCCUUACCUCA